rnacentral:tRNA from 1 species
UAACUAUUAAUUUAAAAAAAAAAUAUUAAUUUUGUAAAUUAAAAAUAUAUAUAUAUAAAAUAUAUAGUUAA